rnacentral:lncRNA from 1 species
GAUUUAUGACUUGAUCUUUGAGGAAGCAACAGCAUGAGGCUGGAUCUGGUGAUGAAAGCUUAAUGGAAGUUAUUACCCUUUCCACUCAGCCAUACUCUGAGACACCUGGGGGAUUUUGCUAUCCCAGAAAACACAGUAAAGAUUUCUCAAGUUCCCUUUUCCCCUUGAGAGACGUGGCCCCACAGUUCCCCAUAUUUCAACCAGAGACGCGCUUGUCAAAAGAGAGGCACUCAGAUAUCAUCACUGCUGUUCCUCAGAAGCAAAUAGUGGGAAAGGUCGUUCAUCCUUGACAAGUGAAAUCACACAUGCGGUGCUUUCCGGUGAUUCUGGGCUGAUCCACACGGUUUGCUUCAUCCAAAGACAUGUGAUUGGCUGUGGUGAGCACUGAAACCAAGAGGUAAUUUUAAAUGGUAUCAUGUGUUUCUACCAGUUUUUAGUUCUUUUUCUCUUACCAGGAAAAAGGUAAAAUCAAAUAGGGGUUUGUCCUUCAGUCUGAAUCCCAGAAAGAAGGAGAAAAUACACAGGAAAGAGUUUAGCAGUCAAACAAAAUUGUUGUAAGCCACUGAGUUCCACUGGGUUGUUGUUGUUGUUGUUAUUAUCAGUAUAAGACUGACUAAUACCAUGAUAGUCAACUUCACCCAAGUUCUUAAAAGUAUUUGUUGAAAGGCUCAGAAAGAGCUGGAUUUUGAAAUUUUUCUAACCCAGUCAAAACCAGAUGAUAGUCCUUAUUUAAACAGCAUGGGAAAAUACAGGGAGGUACUGAUAAGUAUGAUAUGGUUGAAGAAGAUAAAGGUUUGGGUGAAAUCAAACUGAAAGGGAAUAUUUAAUAAGGAAUUACCCUGAAUAGAGAAAACGGAGUCAUGGUUUGCAUGUUCAUGUGUUUAUCCUCAAGCAAACAAGGAACUAGUGAUUUAAAUAAAGGCAAACAUUUUUGUAUAUUUGGAAAUCUG